rnacentral:tRNA from 1 species
GCAGUGGUGGUUCAGUGGUAGAAUUCUCGCCUUGCAUGCAGAGAACCCAGGUUCGAUUUCCAGCCAAUGCG